AUUGAACGCUGGCGGCAGGCCUAACACAUGCAAGUCGAACGAGUGGCGGACGGGUGAGUAAUGUCUGGGAAACUGCCUGAUGGAGGGGGCUAACUACUGGAAACGGUAGCUAAUACCGCAUACCAUCAGAUGUGGCCAGAGGGGAGUAGAGAGUCGGUGGGGUAAAGGCUCACCUAGGCGACGAUCCCUAGCUGGUCUGAGAGGAUGACCAGCCACACUGGAGCUGAGACACGGUCCAGACUCCUACGUGAGGCAGCAGUAGGGAAUAUUGCACAAUGGGCGCAAGCCUUAUGCAGCCAUGCCGAGUGUAUGAAGAAGGCAUUCGGGUUGUAAAGUACUUUCAGCGGGGAGGCGUUACCCGCAGAAGAAGCACCGGCUAACUCCGUGCCAGCCGCCGCGGUAAUUC
rnacentral:rRNA from 1 species